rnacentral:tRNA from 1 species
GCCGAUGUAGCUCAGGGGUAGAGUAGCUGAUUCGUAAUCAGUGGGCCGUGGGUUCAAUUCCCAUCAUCGGCU